rnacentral:lncRNA from 10 species
CACAGUCUGACACUUUUGGCCCUUCUCUUCUCCAGCUCCCCACCCCAUUCUUCGGCCAGUCCUUCCUUUUUCCUCUAACCCUGCAAAAAAUGAGCAGCGCUGUUGUUUUGUUCCAACUGACAAAACAGCUAAGAAACAGCAGAACAUGACUGCCCUUUGCAAAAUGGGCCAUGUGAUCCUCCUAGCUCAAUUCAACACUUACAGUAAAAACGAAUAGAAAGGGACCUGUUUAUGAAACUCUCCUGCUUGCCUUUGGAAUACUCUCAUCCUCUCCCUUCUCAGCCUCCUAAAUACCCAAGUGAAUUUAUAUAAUGAGCUUUAUUUUAUCACCCUGAAAUUCUUCCUCAGUCCAAAUUGCUAAUGUGGCAGGUUCCAGCUGCCCAAAUUCCCUAAACAACAUUGCCUGUUCCAUAAAAAGCAUGCAAUUACAAGCACAGCAGUCCUGCUCUGGUUCUUAGAACUAUAAACUGACUACACAGCUCCCUGGCCCGGGAAGGCUAUGAAACAGGCAACAUGGACAAUUUAAAGGUGUACAACAUCCGAGGUUCCAUUUCACCCUCAGGCAGCACGGAGUGGACAAGAGAUGGGGUCUCACUUUGUCACCCAGGCUGGGCUCAAACUCUUGGCUUCAAGCGAUCUUCUCGCCUUGGUCUCCCAAAGUGCUGGGAUUACAGGCUUGAACUACUGUACUCGACUGACUUUUCCUAUUUCUAAUGUCAGCAUGAAGAACACAAGAAGUCAGCUUCAAAGGCAUCCAGCAAUAUCAUCUAUUCUCCACUUUGCUAAAUCUUACCUUUGGCAGAGCCUUCAUGAACAAGAUUGGUACCCAUAUAAAAGAAGCCCGAGAGAGCUAUCUUGACCCUCCUACCAUGUGAAGACACAACAAGGUACCGUCUAUGAACCAGGAAAUGGGCCCUCACCAGACACCUAAUCUGCUGGUGCCUUGAUCUUGGACUUCCCAGCUUCUAGAACUGUGGGAAUUAAAUUUCUAUUGUUUAUAAGCUACCCAGUUUACACUACUUUGUUCUAUCAGCCCAAAAAGCACACCCUGUUUCAAGAUUCUGCAUUCAUUUACUCAUUCAUACAUUCAACCAUAUUUUGUUGGGCACCAAUGAUGCCAGGCACUACUCUAGGUGCUCAGGAUACAAUAAUUAAUAAGGCAGACAAUGCCCUGGCUUCAUGGAGAUAAAUGUGUUGAUGAACAGGAAGUAGAUAGAGUGGUCAGAGAAGGCUGGUGGAGAGCACAGUUGACCAGAGAUCUGAUGGAAGUGAGAAAGCAAACUAUGGGAAUAUCUGGAAAAAGAGCAUUCCAGGCAGAGGAAUGAGCAAGUGGCAAAGAUCCUCAAAUGCCUAUACUUCCAUGGAAGAAGGCCAGUGAGUGAGGAAAAGAGAGGUAGCAAAGGGGAUCAGAGAGGAUACAGGGAUCCAGAUCUCAAAGGGACUUGUAGGUAAUGGCCACCACUUUGGACUUCAUGUUUUCGGAGUGACGGAAAGUCCCUACAGCCUUUCCCAGCCCCUAGCUAAGCCUCUAUUGAUUACUUCUCCUUCUUGUGCUCUUAUCACCUGUACUUUUAUUUACCAGUUAGUCUAUAUUCCAUGGAUUUCUAUUCAUCUCUUGUGUAUCAAUUCUAUGUCCUCAACUAUGUCUCAACGGCAAGAAUCAGUCAUAUUCUCUUCUGUAUUCCCAGGGCCUGGCACCUAACAGAUGCUCAAUAAAUCUUUCCAGAAGGUGAUAAUGAUGAUGUAAUCUCUUAGAAUCUUUUCUAGCUGUUAAGAUCCAUGAUGCCUUUGAACUCUCUCAACAAACUAGUUUGCACAAUGACUCAGAGGACUGACAUCUUUCUAGAUAUUUUGAGAUUAUAUUCAUGCCACUUUUAGAGUCUCCAUCCAUCAAAUGACUAGAAUGAAUUACAUCAGAGUUUUGUCUAAAUGAAGGCUGUGCCACUUGGAAUGGGAUUCCCUUACAUGGAACUACCUACUAAUAUUUGCACUUUAAGCCACCUGAACCUCAGGAGAGUAAUAAAUUGCUAUUAAAUAAAUGCUAUUCUGAUGUGAUCUCAUCACUAGCCAUUAAUGAUGGCCUCAAAUCCUUUGUUUCUUCUCCCAAUGAAAAGUGAAGGAUAAUGCUACUCCCCUCCCUGACCCCCUCCUGACCCCAAGUCUGGGUUGAAUUUAGUGACUUACUUGACCAAUAAGCAGGAGAACUGGUGUUCUGGGACUUAUGAGUCUACAUCCUGAGAAACCUUCAGCCUUGAAGCUUCCAUCCUCACAUUUUGGGAAACCCAGCUCCCAUGCUGAAAGAAACCUAAGCCACAUGGAGAGACCACAUGCUGGGCCCCAGCUAAGCCCCCUGCCCAGAGCCACGCACCCCAGUCAAGGCACCAGACAUCUGAGUCUGAGAUCUCAAAAGUGGAUCCCCUAUCCCCAGAUUCCUCAGCUGACACCAUGUGGAUCAGAGACAAACUGCCCAGCUGAGCCCUUUCUUAAUUCCUAACCCACAAAAUCAUGACCAAGGUAAAAUGGUUAUUUUAAGGCACCAAGUUUUGGAGUGGUUUAUUAUGUAGCAGUAGAUUUAAAAAAGCAAAAAACAGAAACAGAAUUAUAUCACUACUGAUCCAGAACUCACAAGAGUGCCUUCCUCCCAAUCAUUUAUAAAAUUGACAGACGGACACAGUCUGAGGUUUAACCAAGGUUCAAUGACUGCUUUGCCCAGAGAUUUGAUCCAUGACAAAUGACACAGACAAAUGAGAUGACUUUGAAUGGGUAUCCUGAAUCAAUCAUACUAAUAGAAUUUCAGGCCAAUUAAAGUCAUUUGAAAUGUAACCAAAGUAAAAGCCACGGCAUCCAUUUGGAUUGUAGAGGUCACAGAAUUAGGCUAUUGGCCAAAUUAUACAUAUUUUUUCACUCAAGUCACCCUGCUGGCAAGAAAAUAAUUUAUUACACUACUUAAAUACAUGGAUAGGACUUAAAACAGAAAUGAAAUGCACAAUUCUAUCAUAAAGUUAAAAAGAUCUAGCUACUAAACAAUGAUUGCAUGCAAUACUAAGAAUUUCUGAAAUGAUUUUCAAUCGGAUGCUGCCAGAAUAGAAAACACUCAAUUGCAAAUAGUCCUCUCCUUUAGAACAUCCUUUAUUUGUACAAACAAUUUUUAUUAUGAAAACAAAAGCUCCCCAAAAUGAGUAGGCAGUUUUACCCCCAUCAGUAUGAAUAUCACUUCUCCCAACAGCUAUCACUUCAGGCCCUGUGAAUAAGUGGCUUCUGAUAAAACAGCACACUCAUUUCAUGUUGCUCCUCCUCCCUCUCCCCGACUACCUUCAAGACAUAUUUGGCUCUCCAAAAAAAUACAGAACCAUUAAGUGGACCCAGGGAGAAGAGUAAAGGUAACACACACACAAAAAAACAAAUUUUGGUAGCAAAUGCUUUAGAGCAUCAAUUUUUCAUAUAAACUAUUAUCUUGAACUAUGUCUAAUCAUAGUCUAUCACCCACAUUUUUCAUACUAUGAAUUCACACUCACCAUUGGUACAUUUUAAAGAAUCAACAAAAGAAAAUAAUGACUCAAGAAAACACCCUGAAAGCUAAGGGCAUGGCAAUGUGAAAAUGGUAAAAUGCUUUUAAGAGAAAAUAUCAUCUUCCAACUUCAUAUUUGCACAUAUUUGCUUGAAAGUACAUAUUUGCUUCAAAAAUCAUUCAUUAGCAAUAACAACAAUAAAACCAUAACAAAAG